rnacentral:sRNA from 1 species
AUCUGGAACUUUUGGUUGGUGCCUGCCAGACCCUAGCACAGUGCUCAGCCGUCUCCACCUCUGCUCUCUCGGGCUUUUGCCUCCAGACACCCUCGUGCAUAGCUGGUGGGAAGUGUGGCAAGGCUGAGCUAGCUCGUCUGCCAGGUACCAGAGCAAGCCUCGGGUAAAAACAGAAGGAAAAACAAGUUUAUUAUCAGAGCCACAGAGCCUCGUGGAUGGUCGGGUGUGAAGGAAGCGUGGAUAUCAUUUAUUUAAUCCAGGGCCUCUGGAUAAAGGGCCGACAUCAGAAUCACCCACAUUGGCUUCCUCCAAAUGUAGACACCUCUGCAGCACCCUUGCAGGUGUGAGAUCGGCAGGGGUGAGUGAGGUCAUAUGCAAGUUGAUGACUCCCCAGGUGAUUGGAGGGUGUAGCUCUGUGCCCCUCUUUUUGUGGCUGGGAGAACAGAGUUCUCUGCAAGAGCAAGGGGCUUGCUCAGGGACGUGCAGCAAAUUAGCACUGGAAGCAGGGUGAAAAUCCAGAUUGUUUGCCUGUCUGGCGGGCUUGCUUUCCACUGUUUCUUUCCCCACCCCCACCACCCCAACCCCCUGCCACUUUUUCUUUUUUGCCUCUGUGACAUCAGAUACUCCCUGCCCUCAUCUUGCUCAGAGCUACGCACCCACCCCACCAUGACACCUGCCCAUCAACCCCACAUCUCCUCCAUUCCUGUGGUCCCACAAGGUCUCCCUGGUUCUCUUUGUUCAAGUUGGGUUUAUUCUGGCUUUGGCUGUCACCUCCUGGCCCUAAGGCAGAAACCUGAGGCCUCUUCACCUAGAGGUAACUAAAGAUACUGAGGACAGCUUCCUGUAUUGCCAUUUGUGGGCUACUGCAUUUUGAAAGAGAGAGCAUGCUUUAAGCCAAACAAAUCAUAAAUAAUGCACGAGGUGGUAGCAAGGCGGUGAGAUGUUUGAGCUGUACGGCAUUCUCAUGUGCCUCACGCUGCAUCUAUGACCUCUAGCUCCAGUUGGAAACCUGGGUGAUCCUGGAGCCUUCGGACUGCUCUCUGGGCUGAAAGUUAUGGCAGGCUGUGCUGUGCUCCUAACAACCAAGGACUUGGGGAUGACUUAGAUCCAAUGGAUAACUGCAGAUCAUAAAUCUGACUUGCUGUUGAGAGCUGGCAAGGGGAGAGGUGGCUACAACAUUUCUCCCACUAGCAAGGAGUAGAUAUAUCAGGAUAUCUGCCAUGUAGUAUGUUUUAAUGGUCCUUUUUGUUGAUCAUGAAACAAAUAAGAUAAUAUUUAUUUUCACUCAUUCAAUAAGUACUUAUUGAGCACUUUAAAUAUUCUAAGAUUUAUACAGCAGGCAGAUAAUCCAGAAAUAAAUAUGUUCUCAAUAAGCACACAGUCCACAGAAAAGAAAGAUAAGCACAAUACAACUCUUAUAACAGAUGGAUGAGAAAAGUGCAUGGAGGCCAGACGCGGUGGCUCACGCCUGUAAUCCCAGCACGCUGGGAGGCCAGGGCAGGAGGAUCACCUGAGGUGAGGAGUUCGAGACCAGCCUGGCCAACAUGGUGAAACUCUGUCUCUACUAAAAGUAUAAAAAAUUAGCUGGGCAUGGUGGUGGGUGCCUGUAAUGUCAGCUACUUGGGAGACUGAGGCAGGAGAAUCGCUUGAACCUGGGAGGCGGAGAUUGCAGUGAGCCGAGAUCAUGCCAUUGCACUGCAACCUGGGCGACAAGAGCAAAGCUCCAUCUCAAAAAAAAAAAGAGAAAAGAAAAGUGCACGGAGAAGGUUGUGAAUAGCUCCGCAUGAGAAGUUGGGGAUGGUUUCACAAAGGAGGGGACCUCACAGGAAUCUAGAACUACUGCGAGACUGCAAAGCAGGAGAGGAUAUUAGCACAGAACUAGCCGUGGGUGAAAGACACAAUUCAGGAAGAGGGAAGAGGAAGAAAAGUUCACAGAUUCUAACAUACCACAGUGUGUAGCAGAAGUUUUUCUGGCCAACCAAAUGGAAAUGAGGUGAGAAAGCCUGGAUUGUGAAGGCCCUUGCAUGUCACGUGAACAGAGUUGGGGCUUCAUCCUAAGGGGAGUGUGGAGCAUUGAAGAGUUUUCAGCAGGGAAAUGGCAGGAUCCUAACUGUGUUUCAAAAGUACAGCCCUGGGGACAAUGCGGUUGAUACACUAAAUCCUCCAAUAUUUAUGUUUGGUUUUGGAUGACCUGGAAGGUCUUGUUUCUAACCCAGACUUGUAGAGAACAUGCGCAUAUCUCAUGGAGGCUGUCUUUGUUGGCCCUGAAUGAGUUUUCCAACGCUCUCUCCCCAGGAAUACCACCCUCCACCACCGGCAGCUCAAAAGACAGAGACAGUUGAAAUAAGGCAUGUUCCUUACAUCUGUGUAGACUUUUAAACUCACAAGAUGUUCUGAAAUACAUUAGAUAAUGUAAUAUUCACAAACCCCUGACUGGUGUUAUUAUCCUCAACCUACAAAUUAAGAAACUGAGUCUCAAGUAAGGGAAAUGGUUGUUUACACACCUGUAAAUAGCAAAAUGGACAGCCAGCUCUAGAUAGCUCACUUUGAGGCCAGGAUUCCUUCCACUGCUCGGCUACUUCUUCCAGGCAUCCCACUCCCUCUUCCCUGGCUCCUGAGCAGCUGACGACAGUCAGUGAGAAAGCCAAUGGGCGGGAGAGUCAGGAUUUGGAAUACCUUUGACAUCUUCUUGAGUUUCUUUACUCAGUCUUUAUUUAAGCUGUACUUAAAAAUAUGGCUCCAAUGACGGCUCUAGGUUUGCUGGAUUUGCAUAUUCUGAACCUCAUUCUCUUUCUUUCAGCUGGAGAGGACUUUACCUCUGUGGUCUCAGAAAUCAUGAUGUACAUCCUUCUGGUCUUCCUCACCUUGUGGCUUCUCAUCGAGAUGAUAUAUUGCUACAGAAAGGUCUCAAAAGCCGAAGAGGCAGCCCAAGAAAACGCGUCUGACUACCUUGCCAUCCCAUCUGAGAACAAGGAGAACUCUGCGGUACCAGUGGAGGAAUAGAACAGGAGCGGUGUGACAUGAGGCCAGCUAACCCUCAGAGCCAGCAAUGCUCUGUGCUUCCUCCCUGCGUCACGGCUUGGCAAGAGCUGCCUCUGCUGAGCAGUGUGUGUGAUGGAGAGGGAGGCCGCUGAAGGCCGAGUGCUUGCAGGCUUGUGAACUGCCAUCGAACACAAUCCAAACUCUGGAAAUGUUCCUGACCACCUAAGCCCUCAACAAUGUAAUGCCUGUAUGUGCUGUUUUUCAGUAAACUCCUUGUUCAUGUCAAUAAAGUAUCCCUGAAAACCAC